CCUACGGGCGACAGCAGUGGGGAAUAUUGCACAAUGGGGGAAACCCUGAUGCAGCGACGCCGCGUGAGUGAAGAAGUAUCUCGGUACGUAAAGCUCUAUCAGCAGGGAAGAAAAUGACGGUACCUGACUAAGAAGCCCCGGCUAACUACGUGCCAGCAGCCGCGGUAAUACGUAGGGGGCAAGCGGUAUCCGGAUUUACUGGGUGGAAAGGGAGCGUAGACGGCAGCACAAGUCUGGAGUGAAAUCCCGGGGCUUAACCCCGGAACUGCUUUGGAAACUGUGCGGCUGGAGUGCAGGAGGGGUAAGCGGAAUUCCUAGGGGAGCGGUGAAAUGCGUAGAUAUUAGGAGGAACACCGGUGGCGAAGGCGGCUUACUGGACUGUAACUGACGUUGAGGCUCGAAAGCGUGGGGAGCAAACAGGAUUAGAUACCCUUGUAGUC
rnacentral:rRNA from 1 species